AUGGAGCUGCUGUCUUCGGAGGAGUUCACCCAGGUAGUGGUAACCUUAUGGGCAAUUUGGUUUGCCAGACGGCAAGCUCUGCACGAACACGUCUUUCAAAGCCCUUUGUCAACCCAUCACUUCAUCUUUAAAUACCUGAGGGAGCUCAAUGACUGUAAACCAAAGCAGGUAGGGAGGAAUGCUGCACUACGACAACCCCCAUGCCGUACUCGCUGGUUCCCCCCAACACCGGGCUUUGCAAAGAUCAGAGUGGAUGGGGCAGUUUCAAGAGACCAAAGAGUUGGGACGGUGAGUGCUGUCUGUAGAAGCUCAGAAGGCCUAUUUCUUGGUGCAUCGGUAAUAAAGUUCAGAGGAAUUUCGAACCCGACAACGCUAGAGGCGUUAGCCUGCCAUGAAGCACUGGCACUAUCAUCCGAUCUCCAUCUUAAUCAAAUGGUGGUUGCUUCAGAUUGUCAAGGGGUAGUCCGGGACAUAGCGAACCGUACUGGUGGGGAAUGUGCAAGUAUAGUGAAGGAAAUCACAGCGACAGCAAGAGAUUUCCAAAACUGCUCCUUUGUUUUUGAAGGGCGAGAGACAAAUAUCGAGGCACAUAGUCUCGCUAAGCACGUUUUUGGUCUGGGUUACGGGCGCCAUGUGUGGCUUUUAAACCCGCCAGACCUUGAUUAUAUCCCUAUGAACAUUAUUAAUCAAUAA
rnacentral:rRNA from 1 species